UCCAGCAGCCGCGGUAAUACGUUCCCGGGCCUUGUACACACCGCCCGUCACACCACGAAAGCGGGUAACACCCGAAGCCGGUCGCCUAACCCUUACGGGAGGGAGCCGUCGAAGGUGGGACUCGUGAUUGGGGUGAAGUCGUAACAAGGUAGCCGUAGCGGAAGCUGCGGCUGGAUCACCUCCUUUCUAGGGAGAAUCUCUAGAUACGUCGACCGGGCUCAGGGCACGCACAAAGCGUGCCGGCGCUGCUCAGUUCUCAGAGACGCUGGCGGGAGACCCCCGCUGGUCGCCUCGGUGGACCUUGAAAACUGCACUAGGCAUGAACGUCUUCGGAUCUCAACUCCCGGAGGCGUUCAUUUGAACGUUCCCUCCAUUGAUGAGCCGGAGGGGCGUUCGUGAUGCAAAGGUAGAAACCGAGCUCGAGCGCGUUCCCUUCGGGGAACAUCCUUAACCGCUCGAGUUCAGCUCACCGUCAAGAUAGUAAGGGCACACGGUGGAUACCUAGGCACACAGAGAC
rnacentral:misc_RNA from 1 species